AUUGAACGCUAGCGGGAUGCCUUACACAUGCAAGUCGAACGGAGUGGCGAACGGGUGAGUAAUGUAUCGGAACGUGCCCAGUAGCGGGGGAUAACUAAGCGAAAGCGUAGCCAAUACCGCAUACUAUUGGAGCGGCCGAUAUCGGAUUAGCUAGGUGGUGGGGUAAUGGCUCACCAAGGCGACGAUCCGUAGCGGGGUUGAGAGGACGACCAGCCAAACGGGGACUGAGACACGGCCCAGACUCCUACGGGAGGAAGCAGUGGGGAAGUUUGGACAAUGGGGGAAACCCUGAUCCAGCCAUCCCGCGUGUGCGAUGAAGGCCUGCGGGUUGUAAAGCACUUUUGGCAGGACAGCGGUAUCUGAAGAAUAAGCACCGGCUAACUACGUGCCAGCAGCCGCGGUAAUUC
rnacentral:rRNA from 1 species